rfam:Hydrogenophaga sp. IBVHS1 contig000001, whole genome shotgun sequence.
UCGCAUCCGCCUAACGGUUCAGCCGUGCCGCGGGAGGUUUUUCUUAACCAGCUAAUGUUUCCCGAAGGGAAACGGAGGUCAGCG